rnacentral:rRNA from 1 species
GACGAACGCUGGCGGCGUGCUUAACACAUGCAAGUCGAACGGAGCGAAUGAAAGCUUGCUUUUAUGAGCUUAGUGGCAAACGGGUGAGUAACACGUAGGCAACCUGCCGACAGGAUGGGGACAACAUUCCGAAAGGAAUGCUAAUACCGAAUGAAGCGGAGGAGAGGCAUCUCUCUUCCGUGAAAGAUGGCCUCUGAAUAUGCUAUCACCUGUCGAUGGGCCUGCGUCUGAUUAGCUAGUAGGUGAGGUAACGGCUCACCUAGGCGACGAUCAGUAGCCGGUCUGAGAGGAUGAACGGCCACAUUGGGACUGAGACACGGCCCAGACUCCUACGGGAGGCAGCAGUGGGGAAUCUUCCGCAAUGGGCGCAAGCCUGACGGAGCAACGCCGCGUGAGUGAAGAAGGUCUUCGGAUCGUAAAGCUCUGUUGAUGGGGACGAAUGUGCGUGAUGCGAAUAGUGUCAUGCAAUGACGGUACCAUCGAGAGCC